rnacentral:tRNA from 1 species
AACUAAGUAGCUCAUACUAGAGCAUUGCAUUGAAGCUGCAAAAGAGCUAAAAUUUAGCCAUAGUUA